UUGGUACUUGCUGGACACACUGCUGCCAUGCCGGCUGGCUAGGUCGCUCUGAGCAACUUCUUCAUAAUUCCAACAUAGACUAAAGACAAACCAUUCUCCAGGAAUCCAUCAGGCCUUCAACACUAAACUGGGACUGCUGAGACCCACAAUCUCAUGGACUGAAGCACUGUCAAAUUCUUAGCUUUUCCAGUGUGAGAGUCACUCUGGGCCUACUCAGCGAGCAACAUGGAAAUUUUCACUGGAGAGUCUUAUUUCAUCAUCUUGCUCCGAUCUCUUCAAGAGCCACUUAUCAUUUCUUCAUGAUGAAAAUAUUUAUAAUCUAAUUUUGAAGAGCAAUUGAAGCAUAUAUUACUACAUUGUGAAAUAGUCCCUUGCUGAGCAAAAACCUCCAAGAAUUACUUAUCCUGCUGACUGAAAAUUUGUAUUCUUUAACAAAUGUAUCUCUUUCUUCGGAUAUUUAGCCUUUAGUAACCCAUCAUUCUGUGAACUACUUCAAUAAAUUUGUUUUUUGUAGCUUGCA